CAUUGUCCUCUCGUCCAUGGUCCCCGCGAGGGGAUAAUAGGGAAGCCGGUGGGGGAGAGAUCCCCAGUCCGACGCUGCCCCCGCAACUGUAAGCGGAGACGAAGCCUCUUUGUCCACUGGCCGGUUCGGCUGGGAAGGCGAGGUUUCGGUUCGAUCCGCAAGCCAGGAGACCUGCCAUGGAAACGGAAUCCAU
rnacentral:ncRNA from 1 species